GAUGAACGCUGGCGGCGUGCCUAAUACAUGCAAGUCGAGCGAACAGACGAGGAGCUUGCUCCUCUGAAGUUAGCGGCGGACGGGUGAGUAACACGUGGAUAACCUACCUAUAAGACUGGGAUAACUUCGGGAAACCGGAGCUAAUACCGGAUAAUAUAUUGAACCGCAUGGUUCAAUAGUGAAAGACGGUUUUGCUGUCACUUAUAGAUGGAUCCGCGCCGCAUUAGCUAGUUGGUAAGGUAACGGCUUACCAAGGCAACGAUGCGUAGCCGACCUGAGAGGGUGAUCGGCCACACUGGAACUGAGACACGGUCCAGACUCCUACGGGAGGCAGCAGUAGGGAAUCUUCCGCAAUGGGCGAAAGCCUGACGGAGCAACGCCGCGUGAGUGAUGAAGGUCUUCGGAUCGUAAAACUCUGUUAUUAGGGAAGAACAAAUGUGUAAGUAACUAUGCACGUCUUGACGGUACCUAAUCAGAAGGCCACGGCUAACUACGUG
rnacentral:rRNA from 1 species